CUCCCGGAAUUGCUUCUAGGGGCUCUACUAGUUCUAGAUUAGAGGGCUUUCAAGAUUCUUCAGUGUUUAGAGCUAAUGAGUUGACCUUGAAAGGGUCGGGUCCUAUGUUUUGCUAGCGGUGGUGGAAUGAGGGUUGAUUUGGGUCCUUUAUCCACCACUAAUAUGGGUGCAACUGAGGGGCAGCAAGUUAAUAAUCAUAUGCCUUCUCUGGGAAUGACUUAGCAAUCUCAGAUCGUAGGCUUUGGAAACGUAGCAAAUGAGAGUUAUGUGAGGCAGUAAGGAGGUGGGGGGGAGCAAGAGGAAAUGCUAAUGCUAAUGGUGGGUCUGGGAGUGGUGGUGGUGGCGAAGGCACCAUUCUU